rnacentral:misc_RNA from 1 species
UUUCCGUAGGUGAACCUGCGGAAGGAUCAUUAAUGUGUUUGGGCCUCACGGCUCUUCAUUCCGACGCUGUGCGCCUUCGGGCUGCACGCUGAGGGAGCAUAUACCCACCCCUGUGCACACACACGGUGGCGAGCUGGGUAACGGCUCGCCGCUGAUCUUUACACACGUCUAAAAGUCAUUGUAUGUUUAUUUGAGAUAAAAACACAACUUUCAGCAACGGAUCUCUUGGCUCUU